AUUGAACGCUGGCGGCAGGCCUAACACAUGCAAGUCGAGCGGAGCGGCGGACGGGUGAGUAAUUCCUAGGAAUCUGCCUGGUCGUGGGGGAUAACGUCCGGAAACGGGCGCUAAUACCGCAUCCUAUCAGAUGAGCCGAGUUCGGAUUAGCCAGUUGGGUGGUUAAAGGCCUACCUAGGCGACGAUCCGUAACUGGUCUGAGAGGAUGAUCAGUCACCCUGGAACUGAGACACGGUCCAGCAUCCUACGGGAGGCAGCAGUGGGGAAUAUGGGACAAUGGGCGAAAGCCUGAUACAGCCAUGCCGCGUGUGGGAAGAAGGUCUUCGGAUUGUAAAGCACUUUAAGUUGGGAGGCGUUACCAACAGAAUAAGCACCGGCUAACUUCGUGCCAGCAGCCGCGGUAAUAC
rnacentral:rRNA from 1 species